rnacentral:rRNA from 1 species
UACGUAGGGUGCAAGCGUUGUUCGGAAUUAUUGGGCGUAAAGCGCGUGUAGGCGGUUUGCUAAGUUUGGUGUGAAAGCCCGAGGCUUAACCUCGGAAGUGCACUGAAUACUGGCAAGCUAGAGGACGAGAUAGGGAAGUGGAAUUCCUGGUGUAGGGGUGAAAUCCGUAGAUAUCAGGAGGAACAUCGGUGGCGAAGGCGGCUUCCUGGCUCGUAACUGACGCUGAGACGCAAAAGCGUGGGUAGCAAACAGG